rnacentral:lncRNA from 1 species
UUGUUAACAAAUGCCUGGGCAAGCACAAAUGUCUCAAAGCAGAUUGUGAAUCUCACAUGUGCCAUAUAAAACCCUCAGGUGGUACAGACAGUGUCAUAACAGGGAGCAGCAAACAGGUGAGAUUGUGACUCUCAUAUGCACACCUGGCUAACAGUAUGAAUUGUCACCCUCCCACCUGAACACAGCCUCCUUACAACGUCCUCAAUCUCACACUCAGAGGCAGUCAAAGUUGGAAUUAUGACUCUCAUAUGUGAACGCAGUCCACAGGUAGCAUGGUGAUUCCCACACCAAGAUUCAGCAGCCCUGUGAGGCUGUGGCUCUGCUACUGGGACACUAAGGCAUUGUGAAAUAUCUCUAGGCCCAUCACCUACGUGAUGUGACUCUUCUUUCCUGCCUGAACCCUGCCCCCAAGAGACAUUGUGACAUAUCACUGGGUCCAGCUUCCAGGUAAUGUAACAGUCCUGCCUUGGCCCUGCCCACAAGGGGCAUUGUGACAUAUUGCUGAGCCCAGUACCUAGGUGAUAUGACUCUCCUGAAUUGCCCCUGCACUCAGGGGAGACUUUUGACCCUGCCCAAAGUGGCAAUUGUGACAUAUCUUUGGCCAGCACCCAGGAGAUCCAAACUUUGUUCCUGGUCUCUCUCCACAGUUGGAAUUGGGAACUACACAUGGGCACAGCUUACAGGUGGAAUGAUGACUCACACCUGAAGAUAUUUUGACCUUUGUAGUCUUAGGGCAAAAACUAAGGUCCUGUGUCUUCAACUUGUAGGAUGGUCACGGAAUAUUACAACUUGCAUGCACGUUGAAUGAAGCCCUCAAAUGCUACAAAGAGUGCCAAAAUAGAGCCCAGCUAAAACUGUGGUAAAACUGUGGCUGUUGUAUGCAAACUCAAAUAAAAGUAAGGAUUAUCAGCCUUCCACAUUAACAGAACCCACUGUUGAGGUUCUGAAUCGCUCACCAAGAGGCAAUCAAGUUGGAAUUGUGACUCUCAUGCAUCAAUCCAAUCGACAGAUGAGAUGAUAACACCAAGUCCAGGAUUUAGAACACCUGGGGGCUGUGCUUCCCCUAUCAAAACACAGUCUGUUGGUGAGAUUUGGGCUCUCGUGCAUUGAUUUAGUCCACUGUUGUGACUGACUUGCAUAGUUGAACUCAAACCCACAAGAGGUGUUGACUCUUAUACCUUUAGCAGGAAAAUGUCCCGGAUUGUGAAUUUCUGCUAUUGACCGGGUCCAGCUGGAUCCAGGUAUGAGAGUCAUCAUCUCACCUGUGAGCUGUGACCAUGUAUAUGUCGCAAUUUCACCUGUCAUCAGGAAGCAGACAUGAGAGUCCUAUCACCUGGGUGCUGGACGAAGUUUCGCUCUUGUUUCCCAGGCCGGAGCACAAUGGUGUGAUCUCGACUCACUGCAACCUCCGCCUCCCGGAUUCAAGCGAUUCUCCUGCCUCAGCCUGCCGAGUAGCUGGGAUUACAGAUGAAAAAAGAUGCAAAGAAGACAUAUUUGCUUUUUAUCCACACAUCAUUUCCAAUCACUAUGCUGAGCAAAGUCAAUGUGAGCAGAGCUGAGAAUAGCAGUUUUCUGGCAGGACGGCCACUUCUGAGCAAAAAAUGACACAAUAAAAGUAUAAAUAUUUAAUAGUAAGCUAAUAUAUUUUCAGCAAAUUAAGCAUAUGCAUUAAUAAAAUUAUUGUGGUAUAAUAUUCAUUUUGUUGAUUCCUAUUGCGCUCAGGUAAUAUCAGAUAAAAAACCAGCAAAUAUAGAGCAAAAAUAGUUAUUUGAAAUGGAAAUAUUGUGAAUAAAGUUAUUGUCAAUUAAAGUAAAAAUAUUUUUAUCUCCUACUAAUCGUUUACCUAUAGUUGUACAGUAUCAAAUGCUUUUUAUUAACAACUGUACUUCAUAUAAGUAUUCCAUUUAUAUCACCCUUCUUCAUGGUUUCAAUGCCUUCUGCACUUCAUAUCAGUGAAAAACAGGCGAGCUGGUACCAGGAAAUUGAUGUGGUGCUAUUACUACUUUAAGAGUGAUGACGUGUAAUCCUAGCACUUUGGGAGGCCGAGGCAGGCGGAUCACGAGGUCAAGAGAUCCAGACCAUUCUGG